AGUGAACGCUGGCGGUAGGCCUAACACAUGCAAGUCGAACGGCAGCACAGUAAGAGCUUGCCCUUACGGGUGGCGAGUGGCGGAUGGGUGAGGAAUACAUCGGAAUCUACUUUUUCGUGGGGGAUAACGUAGGGAAACUUAUGCUAAUACCGCAUACGACCUACCGGUGAAAGCAGUGGAUCUUCGGACCUUGCGCGAUUGAAUGAGCCGAUGUCGGAUUAGCUAGUUGGCGGGGUAAAGGCCCACCAAGGCGACGAUCCGUAGCUGGUCUGAGAGGAUGAUCAGCCACACUGGAACUGAGACACGGUCCAGACUCCUACGGGAGGCAGCAGUGGGGAAUAUUGGACAAUGGGCGCAAGCCUGAUCCAGCCAUACCGCGUGGGUGAAGAAGGCCUUCGGGUUGUAAAGCCCUUUUGUUGGGAAAGAAAAGCAGCAGGCUAAUACCCCGCUGUUCUGACGGUACCCAAAGAAUAAGCACCGGCUAACUUCGUG
rnacentral:rRNA from 1 species